rnacentral:misc_RNA from 1 species
GAUGAAGAACGUAGCGAAAUGCGAUAAGUAAUGUGAAUUGCAGAAUUCAGUGAAUCAUCGAAUCUUUGAACGCAUCUUGCGCUCCUUGGUAUUCUGAGGGGCAUGCCUGUUUGAGUGUCAUUAAAUUCUCAACUACACUGACUUUGAAUUGGUGUGGCUUGGAUUUGGGGGGAAAAUUGUUGUGGGCUUUUUGUAUAGUCUGCUCCCCUGAAAUUGAUUAGCGGUACCUUUGUGGAACUGUCUACAGGUGUGAUAAUUAUCUACAUCUUAGACAUCUGCUGGAAUGCUGCUUUCUAAACCUUACUUGUAUUGACAAUCUUGACCUCAAAUCAGGUAGGACUACCCGCUGAACUUAAGCAUAUCAAUAAGCGGAGGA